AAGUCGUAACAAGGUUUCCGUAGGUGAACCUGCGGAAGGAUCAUUAACGAACAAGGAAUUCAAUUUACUUGAAUUUCUUGCGAUCAACCAAAACCUGUAUCAUGAAUUGUAAAUCGAUUAAUACUCGAAAUACACAAAUUAUAAUAAUAAAUACAAAACUUUCAACAACGGAUCUCUUGGCUCUU
rnacentral:misc_RNA from 1 species